rnacentral:rRNA from 1 species
GCCAGAUCCAUAUCCCCCUGCACAUCUUGCCUGGUUUCUCACUGAUGCUAAGCAGGGUUGAGCCUGGCCAGUACCUGGAUGGGAGACCUCCUGGGGAAAGCUAAGGUUGCUGCUGGAA